GACGAACGCUGGCGGCGUGCUUAACACAUGCAAGUCGAACGGAAAGGCCCUGCUUUUGUGGGGUGCUCGAGUGGCGAACGGGUGAGUAACACGUGAGUAACCUGCCCUUGACUUUGGGAUAACUUCAGGAAACUGGGGCUAAUACCGGAUAGGAGCUCCUGCUGCAUGGUGGGGGUUGGUAAGUUUCGGCGGUUGGGGAUGGUCUCGCGGCUUAUCAGCUUGUUGGUGGGGUAGUGGCUUACCAAGGCUUUGACGGGUAGGCGGCCUGAGAGGGUGAACGGCCACAUUGGGACUGAGGUACGGCCCAGACUCCUACGGGAGGCAGCAGUGGGGAAUCUUGCACAGUGGGCGGAAGCCUGAUGCAGCAACGCCGCGUGCGGGAUGACGGCCUUCGGGUUGUAAACCGCUUUCGCAUGUGACGAAGCGUGAGUGACGGUAAUGGGUAAAGAAGCACCGGCUAACUACGUG
rnacentral:rRNA from 1 species